rnacentral:rRNA from 1 species
CGUGCCUACGGGACGCAGCAGUGGGGAAUAUUGCACAAUGGGGGGAACCCUGAUGCAGCAAUGCCGCGUGAAGGAUGAAGGUUUUCGGAUUGUAAACUUCUUUUGUACGGGACGAAGAAAGUGACGGUACCGUAAGAAGAAGCCCCGGCUAACUACGUGCCAGCAGCCGCGGUAAUACGUAGGGGGCUAGCGUUAUCCGGAAUUACUGGGCGUAAAGGGUGCGUAGGUGGUUUCUUAAGUCAGAGGUGAAAGGCUACGGCUCAACCGUAGUAAGCCUUUGAAACUGGGAAACUUGAGUUCAGGAG